rnacentral:rRNA from 1 species
UACAGAGGUCUCAAGCGUUGUUCGGAUUCAUUGGGCGUAAAGGGUGCGUAGGCGGCGCGGUAAGUCGGGUGUGAAAUCUCGGAGCUUAACUCCGAAACUGCAUUCGAUACUGCGGUGCUUGAGGACUGGAGAGGAGACUGGAAUUUACGGUGUAGCAGUGAAAUGCGUAGAGAUCGUAAGGAAGACCAGUGGCGAAGGCGGGUCUCUGGACAGUUCCUGACACUGAGGCACGAAGGCCAGGGGAGCAAACGGG